rnacentral:lncRNA from 1 species
GGCACUUGCAACUUUAUUGCGCCAGCAAGAACAUGCAUACAGCCCAGUCUAACGUACAGGAUCAAAAAGAGACCUUAUUUCGGCUGGCAAUUACCUUACCCGCUUGUUCAUUAUCUGACUCCUGCACUCCUCCCAAGUGUUCAAUGUUAACCAGAUGGCAAAGUUAACCAGACAGAGGAAAUCCACAUAAUUACUCUAGAUGAAGCCCCCUAACUGCGGAUUAGAAGGAAAAGAGAUGAAGGGUGCUGCACUAAUAAUAACAACCAUUUUCAACCAAGGCAGGAUUCUGGGCCUAGAAUCUUCAGUGACAAAUUACCAGGAGAGGAGGAGGGAAAUGAAGAGCUGGAGGCCUAGGGAGAUGGUGUGAGGAGAGGAGACUGUGCCUUUCCACUUCUUAAUAAUUAAUGUUCUCCUGCUGCUCUGAGUCUGCAUCACCAGUGAUUCAGUUUGAGUCAGACAUCCAACAACAACUGAGCAAAAGAAUCAUCUCAGAUCCAAGCAAUGGUGACGCGCAGAUAGAAGAGACUGAGGCCAACGACCAAAGCAAAGGACAGCAGAACUGACUGACACAGCUCAGAAAAUAUCCAAAGCUCUGUAUGCUCUGGAAAGGAAGACAAGAAAUGCUAAAGACUCUGGAUAUUGCUCUGUUUCUAUAAGGUCCCACCCAUAUACCAUCUCUUCUUUUGGAUUUCCUUUGGCAGUAACCUGAAGUUAUAUAAGUGGCAUGUUCCCAAGUACAAAGGGAGCCCUUCUAUUGCUUCUGCUUACAAAGAGGUGUCAACCUAAGAAAAAGCCAGAACAAGCCAAAGUUCAGGGUUCCCUUGUAUGGAAGUUCUCAGGAGAACAACACUCUCAGAGUCCCACUGUCUCAAAGAAUUCUUAAUGGACAGCUAUACUUGGCCCCAAGGUUUCAACCUCACACUGAAGAAAGUGACAUAAGAAAACACAAGUCCCAGUGCUAUCAGGGGCUAUCUGGAAAAGCUGCUUAAACAGCAAGUGAAAGAAGGCUCUCCCCUACCCCGUUCUAGACUCACCCUGAAGUUAUUUGAAGGAUCCUUGAGACUCUUUUGGAUUGCUGCUUGGAGAACAUUCCUGUAACUUGUCCCUGCUCCUUGAACUAUAAAAGCAGAAGGGAGGUACUGAGUUAAAACUUACAAAUUAUUAUCAAAUAAAUCUUCAAUAGUGGUUCAGUCCAA